CCUACGGGAGGCAGCAGUGGGGAAUAUUGGGCAAUGGGCGCAAGCCUGACCCAGCAACGCCGCGUGAAGGAAGAAGGCUUUCGGGUUGUAAACUUCUUUUAUCAGGGACGAAGCAAGUGACGGUACCUGAUGAAUAAGCCACGGCUAACUACGUGCCAGCAGCCGCGGUAAUACGUAGGUGGCAAGCGUUAUCCGGAUUUACUGGGUGUAAAGGGCGUGGAGGCGGGAGUGCAAGUCAGAUGUGAAAACCACGGGCUCAACCUGUGGCCUGCAUUUGAAACGGUGUUUCUUGAGUACUGGAGAGGCAGACGGAAUUCCUAGUGUAGCGGUGAAAUGCGUAGAUAUUAGGAGGAACACCAGUGGCGAAGGCGGUCUGCUGGACAGCAACUGACGCUGAGGCGCGAAAGCGUGGGGAGCAAACAGGAUUAGAUACCCCAGUAGUC
rnacentral:rRNA from 1 species